GACGAACGCUGGCGGCGUGCUUAACACAUGCAAGUCGAACGAAGAGCGAUGGAAGCUUGCUUCUAUCAAUCUUAGUGGCGAACGGGUGAGUAACGCGUAAUCAACCUGCCCUUCAGAGGGGGACAACAGUUGGAAACGACUGCUAAUACCGCAUACGAUCUAAACUCGGCAUCGAGGAUAGAUGAAAGGUGGCCUCUACAUGUAAGCUAUCACUGAAGGAGGGGAUUGCGUCUGAUUAGCUAGUUGGAGGGGUAACGGCCCACCAAGGCGAUGAUCAGUAGCCGGUCUGAGAGGAUGAACGGCCACAUUGGGACUGAGACACGGCCCAGACUCCUACGGGAGGCAGCAGUGGGGAAUCUUCCGCAAUGGACGAAAGUCUGACGGAGCAACGCCGCGUGAGUGAUGAUGGCCUUCGGGUUGUAAAGCUCUGUUAAUCGGGACGAAAGGCCUUCUUGCGAAUAGUGAGAAGGAUUGACGGUACCGGAAUAGAAAGCCACGGCUAACUACGUG
rnacentral:rRNA from 1 species